GAUGCUUCUGCUUUUUCUUUCAGAAUACAGCUGUCUCCAAGCCCAUGUGAGCCCGCUGGAGGAUGAGAUACAAUGAGGAAGAGAGCCAAGUUGCCCACUUGACAGCCAGCUCGCCCCCAGAAGCAGAGCCCCCAGCCAACGAGCAGCUAACCACACACGCAUGAAGGAGCCCAGCAGAGACCAGACUGGUCCUGCGGAACCCAGCCUAAACUGCUGACCAGCUCAGUCAUGAGCUAGGUCAAGAGGAGUCACCUCCCCAAGGUCAAGAGGAACCCUGAGUGCUGCAUUUCCAAUGUGACAGCCUCUCAACACAUGUGAGUGCUCAGCACCUAGAAUGUGGCUGGUCCAAGUUAUGAUGCGCUGAAAGUGCAAAAUAGAGUGAAUUUCAAAGAUUUAAUACAAAAAGUGUUGAGAUUUAAAACUACAGACGUGGCUCACUUCCUGCUUCUACUGGACAUUGCUCUCUUCAAGGACUGCCUCCUUUUCAAAGCGCAGGCUGCCUCCUCAGAAGAGCAGAGGACAGGAAGAUUAGGAAAUCUGAAAUUUUGAAAGAACUUGGCAUUUUACUGGUUCCACUUGUGAAUAAGGGAUUUAAUAAGGCUUUAAAUUUAAGAUUUAAUAUUUAAAAUAAAACGCAUCAUUUCAA